GUGGGUGUAGCUCAGUCGGUAGAGCGCCAGAUUGUGGAUCUGGUGGUCGAGGGUUCGAGCCCCUCCACUCACCCCA
rnacentral:tRNA from 1 species